ensembl:lncRNA
CAGCUUGAGAUAAACACAGGUGGAUGAAACGGUGCUGUUGAGUGACAAAAAUUUUCUUUGAGUUUCUGUGUUUGGAAGAAGGUGAAACAGUACUGUCUGUGUGUGAGUGUGUGUGUUUGGGUGUGAGUGUGUGUGUGCCAAAGAUCCACAGAUGUUUAAGAGAUACUGCGGUUAACAGAAAACCACACGGGACAGAAAGCUCGAGACUCUUUUUGUUCUCUGUGAGAAGUGAAGAAACAUUUCAGCAGUAAUUUUUGCUCCGUGUGUUGUGAUGAUUAUCGAUUUUGUGCUUAAUCACGAUAUUUAACACGCACCGUAUGGGAUCAGUACCACUGCUGAGGUGGGAAUAAACACCACACUAAACUAUACAGUCCUGUGGAGAAGUUCUGGUCUCUUCUGUGUGUGUGUAGAUCUCGUACUAAACAGUUUCAGAAAUUAAAACUAAAUCUAAAAUAAAACAAAGACGCCCUGAUUAAACACAAAAUACAGAUUUUACAUGAUAAUGAUGCUAUUUAUUGAAACAAAAAAGUCCUCCAAUACUAACUGGGCCUGUGUGAAAAUGUAUUUGCCCCCGUAGUUACUAAUUCUCCAAAUCUUUGACACUGCAUUGAUAAUGGGGUUCAGCUGGACGAGACACAACCAGAUCUGAUUACUGCGAACCCUGUUCAAUCACAUCUACACUUACAUAGAACUUUCUCAACAGCAGGAAGUUGGUUAAAAGACCUUACCCAGUAACACACUACACCAAAGCUGAAAGAGAUUCCAGAAAUGAUGAGGAGGAAGGUGAUUGAAGUACAUCAGUCUGGGAAGGGUUACAAAGAUAUUUCAAAGGCUCUGGGACUCCAAAGAACCACAGCGAGAGCCGUUAUCUCCAAAUGGAAAAACUCAGCACAGUAGUGAACCUUCCCAGAAGUGUCCGACCUUCCAAAAUUCCUCCCAGAGCACAGCAACGACUCAUCCAGGAAGUCACUAAAGAGCCAAGGACAACAUCGAAGGACCUACAGGCCUCUCUCACAUCAAUAAAGUCACUGUUCAUGACUCCACUAUCAGAAAGACACUGGGGGAAAACGGCUCCAUGGAAGAGUGGUGAGGUGAAAACCACUGCUAACCCAGAAGAACAUUAAUGCUCGUCUGAAUUUCACCAAAACACUCCUCGAUGAUCCUCAAACCUUUUGGGAGAAUGUUCUGUGGACUGAUGAGGUGAAAGUGGAACUGUUUGGAAGACAGGAGUCCCGUUACAUCUGGAGUAAACCAAACACCGAAUUCCACAAAACGAUCAUCAUACCUACGGUCAAGCAUGGUGGAGGCAGUGUAAUGGUGUGGGGAUGCUCUGCUGCUUCAGGGUCUGGGCAACGUGCAGUAAUUGAGGGAAACAUGAAUUCUGCUCUCUAGCAGAAAAUCCUAAAGGAGAAUGUCCGGUCUUCAGUCCGUAAGUUGAAACUCAAGUGCAACUUGAGUUGGUAAAAUUCCACCACAGUGCUGUGAAAGUCUGAUCUCCAGUUAUCAGAAGUGUUUGGUUGCAGUUAUUGUUGCUAAAGGUGGCACAACCAGAUUUUAAGUUUAAGGGGGCAAUUAGUUUUUCACAUGGGUGAUAGUCUGUUUGUUUUUUGCUUCAAUAAAAAUAAAUAAAUAUAAACUGUAUUGUGUGGUUGUUCAGGUUGAUUUUGUUUGAUGUUUUAUUUCAUUUAAAGAACUUAAAACUAUUUAAUAUGAGCUAAAACAGAAGAAAUCAGGAUGGGGCAAAUACUUAUUCACACCACUGUAUCUGCUCUGUGAACUCCAGUGGUGGUCUACUAUCA